AUGCGUGUGUCCACACUCAAAUAUGUGCGUGUCCACACUCAAAUAUGUGCGUCUCCACACUGACCGUCCACACUCAAAUAUGCGUGUGUCCACACUCAAAUAUGCGCGUGUCCACACUCAAAUAUGUGCAUGUCCACACUCUGUCCACACUCAAAUACGUGUGUCCACACUCAAAUAUGUGCGUGUCCACACUGACCGCCCACACUAAAUAUGAGCGUGUCCACACUGACCGUCCACACUCAAACAUGCGUGUGUCCACACUGACCGUCCACACUCAAAUAUGCGCAUGUCCACACUGACCGUCCACACUCAAACAUGCGCGUGUCCACACUGACCGUCCACACUCAUAUAUGCGCAUGUCCACACUGACCGUCCACACUAAAUAUGCGCGUGUCCACACUGACCGUCCACACUCAAAC
rnacentral:lncRNA from 1 species